GAUGAACGCUGGCGGCGUGCCUAAUACAUGCAAGUCGAACGCUUUGUCUUUAAUUGUUCUGAAGAGCUUGCUCUGAUUUGAUUUUAUCUGACAAAGAGUGGCGAACGGGUGAGUAACACGUUGGUAACCUACCUCUUAGCAGGGGAUAACAUUUGGAAACAAGUGCUAAUACCGUAUAACACUAACAACCGCAUGGUUGUUAGUUGAAAGAUGGUUCUGCUAUCACUAAGAGAUGGACCCGCGGUGCAUUAGCUAGUUGGUAAGGUAAUGGCUUACCAAGGCGAUGAUGCGUAGCCGAGUUGAGAGACUGAUCGGCCACAAUGGGACUGAGACACGGCCCAUACUCCUACGGGAGGCAGCAGUAGGGAAUCUUCCACAAUGGGCGCAAGCCUGAUGGAGCAACGCCGCGUGUGUGAUGAAGGGUUUCGGCUCGUAAAACACUGUUAUAAGAGAAGAACGACAUUGAGAGUAACUGUUCAGUGUGUGACGGUAUCUUAUCAGAAAGGAACGGCUAAAUACGUG
rnacentral:rRNA from 1 species